GAUGAACGCUGGCGGCGUGCCUAAUACAUGCAAGUCGAGCGAACAGACGAGGAGCUUGCUCCUCUGACGUUAGCGGCGGACGGGUGAGUAACACGUGGAUAACCUACCUAUAAGACUGGGAUAACUUCGGGAAACCGGAGCUAAUACCGGAUAAUAUAUUGAACCGCAUGGUUCAAUAGUGAAAGACGGUUUUGCUGUCACUUAUAGAUGGAUCCGCGCCGCAUUAGCUAGUUGGUAAGGUAACGGCUUACCAAGGCGACGAUGCGUAGCCGACCUGAGAGGGUGAUCGGCCACACUGGAACUGAGGCACGGUCCAGACUCCUACGGGAGGCAGCAGUAGGGAAUCUUCCGCAAUGGGCGAAAGCCUGACGGAGCAACGCCGCGUGAGUGAUGAAGGUCUUCGGAUCGUAAAACUCUGUUAUUAGGGAAGAACAAAUGUGUAAGUAACUAUGCAUGUCUUGACGGUACCUAAUCAGAAAGCCACGGCUAACUACGUG
rnacentral:rRNA from 1 species